UUGGCUAUAGCCAAGCGGUAAGGCAACGGACUUUGACUCCGUCACUCGUUGGUUCGAAUCCAGCUAGCCCAGCCA
rnacentral:tRNA from 1 species